rnacentral:tRNA from 1 species
UGGCACAAUGGUUAAAGCGCUCAGCUGCUAACUGAAAGGGCAGUGGUUCGAAUUCACU